rnacentral:lncRNA from 1 species
GAGGGAGAUAGAGAGCACGGCUGGAAAAAUUCUGAGGCAAAACAGAAAUCAGAGAGAAGGCAGCCGACAGAGAGAGUUUUUUUGGGGAGAUAGAGAGAGGGAUAGGAUCGGAAAAGAAAGACCAGAGAAAGAGAACGGAUGACAACGGAGAGAAAAGUUUUGAGAGUGGCGGCUGAAAAAUCUUGAGGAAGUAGAGAGUGUGUAUGCGAGACGGUAAAAGAGAGAAAACAGCAAAAGAAAAAGAGUCUGACUUAGGGUUGCAAGAGGAUGACUGAAUCAUCAUCAUCGCGUUCCGUUGGCGUGACUUUGAAGUUCUGGUAGAACCAUCCGAACCUUUUCUCGGGCAUCCCUCGCCUCGCUUGGUGAUUAAGGUAUUAUCUUCAUCUUUUAUCAGUUAGAUACCAUCAGAUUUGGCUCAGAAAUGUUGAGAUAUUUCCUGUUACGUUUUGGGUCGUUUUUCUCUUUCCUUCAUGGUUGUUCCUCCUGUGC